UGUUCUAUGGCCGAACUGGUAAAGGCAUUGCCGAUCACAGGCAAAGUUGCGGGUUCGUGUCCCGCUGGAGCGG
rnacentral:tRNA from 1 species